rnacentral:rRNA from 1 species
GAGACCCACGCCAACAGUUGCCAGCACGUUCUCCGGAAUGGUGGGGACACUGUUGGGACCGCCUCUGCUAAAGAGGAGGAAGGAAUGGGCAACGGUAGGUCAGCAUGCCCCGAAUUACCCGGGCUACACGCGGGCUGCAAUGGACAGGACAAUGGGAAUCGACACCGAGAGGUGAAGGCAAUCCCCUAAACCUGCCCUUAGUUCGGAUUGUGGGCUGCAACUCGCCCACAUGAAGCUGGAAUCCGUAGUAAUCGCGGAUCAACAUUCCGCGGUGAAUAU